rnacentral:lncRNA from 1 species
CCUGGGUCCUUUGCAAGAACAGCACAUGCUCAUGACUGGUAAGCCAUGGUUGGUGCUGCUGGCAUGGUUCCAGCUCCAUGGCUAAUACUUUAGAGGUGUAUUUUAUGCCACUGCUCAGAGCUGCUCGAGGAGGACUGAGCUACACUGGCAUACUGUGGCUGGAUCGCAUAACACACUAUUUUGUUCUGCCCAACCCUCCAUUUCAGCACUAGAGGAAGGAACUGUGCAAAGGAGUCAUUCUGUGUGCACACACAAGCUCAACUUGAGGGAACCUUUGCUACCUACGACCACACAUCUCUACUCCGUUUCCAGUCAUGUUUCCUGUCUCUCCCAUAUCAGAUUCUAGUACCAACAUCUUGGCUUAAAGUGAACAAAAGUUUGCACUGAUGUGGAAUCAUCACACUUCCUCUGAGCUUCCUACUGCAGCAGUGCAUAUAAACUUGGAGAGAAAUCACAUCAAAAAUCCUAGUGUGAGAAUCAUGGGAACUGUGAGACCUAAGCCCAUCCCAUUGCUGGCAAACAGGCCCCAAACAUCCUUGCCUUCAGCAAUGAAAAACUCCAACUGGAAGGUCGCAGCCCUCUUGAGCUGAGCUGUGAUCUCAGCACACCAUGCUCAUGAUAAGAAGAUCUCCAUUAUUUGGUUCUGUAUUUGUUAUAGCGAGA